rnacentral:rRNA from 1 species
AUUGAACGCUGGCGGCAUGCUUUACACAUGCAAGUCGAACGGCAGCACGGGGGCAACCCUGGUGGCGAGUGGCGGACGGGUGAGUAACACAUCGGAACGUGCCCAGUUGUGGGGGAUAACCUGGCGAAAGCCAGGCUAAUACCGCAUGAGCUCGGCAAGAGGAAAGCGGGGGACCCAGCGAUGGGCCUGGCGCGAUUGGAGCGGCCGAUGUCCGAUUAGCAGUUGGUGAGGUAAAGGCUUACCAAGGCGACGAUCGGUAGCUGGUCUGAGAGGAUGAUCAGCCGCACUGGGACUGAGACACGGCCCAGACUCCUACGGGAGGCAGCAGUGGGGAAUUUUGGACAAUGGGGGCAACCCUGAUCCAGCCAUGCCGCGUGAGUGAAGAAGGCCU